GACGAACGCUGGCGGCGUGCUUAACACAUGCAAGUCGAACGGAAAGGCCCUGCUUUUGUGGGGUGCUCGAGUGGCGAACGGGUGAGUAACACGUGAGUAACCUGCCCUUGACUUUGGGAUAACUUCAGGAAACUGGGGCUAAUACCGGAUAGGAGCUCCUGCUGCAUGGUGGGGGUUGGAAAGUUUCGGCGGUUGGGGAUGGACUCGCGGCUUAUCAGCUUGUUGGUGGGGUAGUGGCUUACCAAGGCUUUGACGGGUAGCCGGCCUGAGAGGGUGACCGGCCACGUUGGGACUGAGAUGCGGCCCAGACUCCUACGGGAGGCAGCAGUGGGGAAUAUUGCACAAUGGGCUGAAGCCUGAUGCAGCAACGCCGCGUGCGGGAUGACGGCCUUCGGGUUGUAAACCGCUUUCGCCUGUGACGAAGCGUGAGUGACGGUAAUGGGUAAAGAAGCACCGGCUAACUACGUG
rnacentral:rRNA from 1 species